CUCAAAAAUAAGAUUAAUCUUUGUUCUUGACUUAUUUCCUAGAAGCAACGAAGAUAACACUAAUAAAUUCAAACAAACACAAAUUUCACUGAAAUACACACAACUUACAUACAUAUUACAUAAACCCAACUCCGGCGCUGGUGCUUUUGCUUCUUCAGCAACCGGUGCGGCGGCCGGAGCCUUAUCGCCACCGUACUGGUGGAGAUAAGUUUGGGCCUUCUCAACGUACUGUCCAAUUCCUUGAGUUUCGUCUAAUUUUCCGUAUUUCUGUGCAGCGUCGAGC
rnacentral:lncRNA from 1 species